AACUGUUUCAAAUCAACAGGGACACAGAGUCCUGGUCAAAGGGAACAGGAAAAGAUGCCUGUGCCAUCUCUUGAAGGUUAAAUUGAAUUACUCAAACCCAGUUAUCAGAUUCAAGAAUUUAGAACUAGAAAAAGUCCUAAGCCAAGAAUUUUUAAACUUUUUUUGUUUCAAUGGCUCUUUUGGCAAUCGAAUGAACCUCAUGGACACCUUCUCAGAACUUUCAAAUACAUCAGCUAAAAUAUAUAGGACUACAGAGGAAACCAAUCAGAUUGAAGUAGAAUUAUCAAAAUAUUUUUUAAAACAAGUCCACAUGCUGCUUCUGGGAGCCAAGAUGGCGGAGUGAAAAGGUAGUCGCUCUCACUCUCCCCUAUCAACCUCUGAAAACCCAGAAAAUAUCACCCCAGAAAAAAAACCCUGGAACAGCUGAACUAGAAGAAAGACAGGUAGCAGCAGUGAAGCAGCCCAGCAAACGGGUCUCCUAGUGCCUCAGCAAAAAUAAGGGAGGCAGAACUACAAGGGGCCCCAGGCGGAUAAGUACCCUAUGGCAUUCAUCUGAAAGGUGAAGAAAACAACCAAAAGGCUUCCUAAAGCCCUGGCCUUGCUGGUUCCACUCCAACACCAGGUGAGCUGUCGGAGCCCUGCAGCCUCCAAUUGUGAAGAAAUCCUGAAGCCCAGGUGGUAGAGCAGGCAAACACCAACACCUGGACCUCCAGUGCCUCAGUGAGGGCAGGGGGAACUGGUGGAAACCAGCUCAGAAAACCACCAGGGGCCUGGGCACUCUACCGCAAAGGAAUCUCCCAGUGCAUUAACAGGAAAGAGGGAGACAACACUGCAGGGGGCCCCAGGCAGAUAAACACCCUGCAGCACCCAUCUAAAAGGAAUGGAAGAAAGCUGAAGGAAAGGAAAAGCAGGCAACCUAGAAUUGCCUGAAAGUUCCAGCCUUGCUGAUUCCAACCCAACACAAGGUAAGCUGCCAGAAACCUACAGCCUCCAAUUACCAACAUAAGAGGCCCCAGCACACAAAGCCAGUGACCAAGACCUGGGCUCCCAACACAAGAAGCUUGGGUCAGUGCCCUCUGUUCCCCAGCAGGAGAGCUCAAUCUCUUUAAAGGCCAGGGAAUAAAGAA
rnacentral:lncRNA from 1 species